UACGGGGGGGGCAAGCGUUGUCCGGAAUUACUGGGCGUAAAGGGCGCGUAGGCGGUCUGUUAAGUCGGAUGUGAAAACUCUGGGCUCAACCCAGAGCCUGCAUCCGAAACUGGCAGGCUAGAGUUCUGGAGGGGGUAGCGGAAUUCCUGGUGUAGCGGUGAAAUUCGUAGAUAUUGGGAAGAACACCGGUGGCGAAGGCGGCUCUCUGGACCGAGACUGACGCUGAGGCGCGAAAGCGUGGGGAGCAAACAGG
rnacentral:rRNA from 1 species